CGCCUGGGGAGUACGGCCGCAAGGCUAAAACUCAAAGGAAUUGACGGGGGCCCGCACAAGCGGCGGAGCAUGUGGCUUAAUUCGACGCAACGCCAAGAACCUUACCAAGGCUUGACAUACACCGGAAAGCAUCAGAGAUGGUGCCCCCCUUGUGGUCGGUGUACAGGUGGUGCAUGGCUGUCCUCAGCUCGUGUCGUGAGAUGUUGGGUUAAGUCCCGCAACGAGCGCAACCCUUGUCCCGUGUUGCCAGCAAGCCCUUCUGGGUGUUGGGGACUCACGGGAGACCGCCGGGGUCAACUCGGAAGAAGGUGGGGACGACGUCAAGUCAUCAUGCCCCUUAUGUCUUGGGCUGCACACGUGCUACAAUGGCCGGUACAAUGAGCUGCGAUACCGCGAGGUGGAGCGAAUCUCAAAAAGCCGGUCUCAGUUCGGAUUGGGGUCUGCAACUCGACCCCAUGAAGUCGGAGUCGCUAGUAAUCGCAGAUCAGCAUUGCUGCGGUGAAUACGUUCCCGGGCCUUGUACACACCGCCCGUCACGUCACGAAAGUCGGUAACACCCGAAGCCGGUGGCCCAACCCCUUGUGGGAGGGAGCUGUCUAAGUGGGACUGGCGAUUGGGACGAAGUCGUAACA
rnacentral:rRNA from 1 species